rnacentral:rRNA from 1 species
UACGUAGGGUGCAAGCGUUGUCCGGAAUUAUUGGGCGUAAAGAGCUCGUAGGCGGUUUGUCACGUCGGAUGUGAAAAACCCGAGGCUUAACCUCGGGCCUGCAUUCGAUACGGGCUGACUAGAGUUCGGUAGGGGAGACUGGAAUUCCUGGUGUAGCGGUGAAAUGCGCAGAUAUCAGGAGGAACACCGGUGGCGAAGGCGGGUCUCUGGGCCGAUACUGACGCUGAGGAGCGAAAGCGUGGGGAGCGAACAGG